rnacentral:rRNA from 1 species
CACAAGCGGUGGAUGAUGUGGUUUAAUUCGUAUGCAACGCGAAAAACCUUACCCACCUUUGACAUGGCAGGAAUCCUAAAGAGAUUGGAGUGCUCGAAAGAGAACCUGCACACAGGUGCUGCAUGGCUGUCGUCAGCUCGUGUCGUGAGAUGUUGGGUUAAGUCCCGCAACGAGCGCAACCCUUGCCAUUAGUUGCUACGAAAGGGCACUCUAAUGGGACUGCCGGUGACAAACCGGAGGAAGGUGGGGAUGACGUCAAGUCCUCAUGGCCCUUAUAGGUGGGGCUACACACGUCAUACAAUGGCCGGUACAGAGGGUAGCCAACCCGCGAGGGGGAGCCAAUCCCACAAAGCCGGUCGUAGUCCGGAUCGCAGUCUGCAACUCGACUGCGUGAGGUCGGAAUCGCUAGUAAUCGCGGAUCAGCAUGUCGCGGUGAAUACGUUCCCGGGUCUU